AUACGGAGGGUGCAAGCGUUAAUCGGAAUUACUGGGCGUAAAGCGUGCGUAGGCGGUUCGUUAAGUCAGAUGUGAAAGCCCCGGGCUCAACCUGGGAACUGCAUUUGAAACUGGCGAACUAGAGUUUAGUAGAGGGGAGUGGAAUUUCAGGUGUAGCGGUGAAAUGCGUAGAUAUCUGAAGGAACACCAGUGGCGAAGGCGACUCCCUGGACUAAAACUGACGCUGAGGUACGAAAGCGUGGGUAGCAAACAGGAUUAGAUACCCUGGUAGUCCACGCCGUAAACGAUGUCAACUAGCCGUUGGUCCUCUAUGUAGGAUUAGUGGCGCAGCUAACGCAUUAAGUUGACCGCCUGGGGAGUACGGCCGCAAGGUUAAA
rnacentral:rRNA from 1 species